UUAAAAAAUAGGUUUGCAGGGACUGGCCUGGUGGUACAGCGGUUAAGUGUGCACGUUCUGCUUCGGCAGCCCGGGGUUUGCCGGUUUGGAUCCCAGGUGCGGACAUGGCACCACUUGGCAUGCCAUGCUGUGGUAGGCGUCCCACAUACAAAGUAGAGGAAGAUGGGCACGGAUGUUAGCUCAGGGCCAGUCUUCCUCAGCAAAAAGAGGAGGAUUGGCAGCAGUUAGCUCAGGGCUGAUCUUCCUCAAAAAAAAAGUAGGUUUGCUAGAUCUCCACUUCUAAGUUAUCUUUUUUUUCUCCUAACGUUUAGAAGAUAUUGUGUCACAGACUUCCGGUUUCCAUUGCUGUUGUUGAGAAGUCUGCUGUCAGUCUAAUUGUCUUUUUUUUCAGGUGUUCUUUUUCUCUGGCUACUUUGAAGAUUCUUCUUUCAUUAUUGCUUGACUCCAAGGGCUUUUUGUUGUUGUUCUAUGAAUGUUCCUCUUUGAAGCUUUAUAGAAACUCUCACUGAUGCCAGAUUUGGCCAAAGGCACCACAGAUACCAAAAACGUGACAUAUUCUGAAGCCCUAGAGAGAGUUUGUAUAGAACUUUGUUUUACUAGUGUGCAAGAAUGGGUCAGUGCCACAGUUGUCACUUGAGAGCAUGGUGGUGCCAUGGACUCUGGAGCAAGACUGCCUGGGUUCAAAUCCCAGAUCUGCUAUUUCAGAGCUGGGACUUUGGGAAAAGUCCCAGCCUCAGGAACCAUCCCAGACACAAUCUAGAGGACAUGACCAGGAGAAGUGGCUCAUACUGAAAAUAAGUGCUUGGUGGGAAAGCAAAUUUGAGGAAAUGGUGUCAAAGGUGAAAGUUCAAGAGAUGCAAAAUUUUAAACAAAAUUUUACUAAAUCAAAUCCAACAAUAUAUUUAAAAGAUACCACAACCAAGUGGGGUUUAUCUCCGGAAUAUAGAGUUGGUUUAACAUUAGAAGAUCAAUCAAAGCAGUGCACCAUGUUAACAACCCAGAAAAAGAAAAACCCAUAGGAUUAUUGCAGUAAAUGCAGAAAGGCAUUUGACAAAAUCCAAUAUCCAUUCCCAAUUUAAAAAGAAAACAACCUCUUGGCAAACUAAGAACAGAAGGGAAAUUCCUCGACCUGAUAUAGGGCAUCUAACGAAAACCGACAGUUAACAUCAUAUUUAGUGGUGAAAGACUGAAUGUUUUCCCUCCAAGAUCAGAA
rnacentral:lncRNA from 1 species